CAAACUCAAAACAGUAAAGAAAAAAAAGAAAAAAAAAAGUCACCUUAGGUUUUAGAUUUGAUUCUCCGAUUUGGUGUUAGAGCCCCUGAUUGUAUAUGUAUUUUCGAAUGGUUCUUGUAUUUAAUCUGUUAAUAUUGAAAGAAAAUCUUUGUUUUCAUAGCAAAAAUCCCCUUUUACAAAUGUUUAUUUCUCAGCUUUAUAGCCGACUACAAAACUAGGAAAAUAUUGUUUAUCUUUUGUCCCAUUCUGUUUGGUCUGCUUCUGUCUU
rnacentral:lncRNA from 1 species